rnacentral:rRNA from 1 species
GACAUAGGUGGCGAACGUUAUCCGGAAUUAUUGGGCGUAAAGGAUGCGUAGAUGGUGUGAUAAGUUAUCAGUGGCAAAUCGGGGCUCAACCUCGUGGAAGCUGUUAAUACUGUUAUGCUUGAGUUCAGGAGAAGUUAACGGAACUCCAUGUGGAGCGGUAAAAUGUGACGAUAUAUGGAAGAACACCGAUAAGGCGAAGGCAGUUAACUAUUCUGUUACUGACAUUGAGGCAUGAAAGCGUGGGGAGCAAAACGG